GAUGAACGCUGGCGGCGUGCCUAAUACAUGCAAGUCGAGCGAACAGACGAGGAGCUUGCUCCUCUGACGUUAGCGGCGGACGGGUGAGUAACACGUGGAUAACCUACCUAUAAGACUGGGAUAACUUCGGGAAACCGGAGCUAAUACCGGAUAAUAUAUUGAACCGCAUGGUUCAAUAGUGAAAGACGGUUUUGCUGUCACUUAUAGAUGGAUCCGCGCCGCAUUAGCUAGUUGGUAAGGUAACGGCUUACCAAGGCAACGAUGCGUAGCCGACCUGAGAGGGGGAGGGGCCACCCUGGAAAUGAGACCGGGCCCAGCCCCCCACGGGAGGCAGAAGGAGGGAAUUUUCCGCAAGGGGCGAAAGCCUGACGGGGCAACGCCGGGGGAGUGAUGAAUGUCUUCGGAUCGUAAAACUUUUUUAUUGGGGAAAAAAAAAUGUGUAAGUAACUAUGCACGUCUGGACGGUACCUAAUCAGAAAGCCACGGCUAACUACGG
rnacentral:rRNA from 1 species